AGGUGUCCACAGUCCAUCGGUGACGUCCCCGGCGGGGAGAGUCCUGCAAGCAACAAGAGCAUCUCCACAGUAAGAUGCUGCGGGGAGCUGGCGCCAGCACGUCCUGAAAGCAAGGAAGUAUAUAUCAAAUCUGAGAAAUGCCAGAGUCACAGAAGAGCCAGAUUUCCAGUGUGAUUUAGGCCAGAAUAUAUCCAUCGUCAUAUGAUGAACAAAAAUUAUUGUUUGAAAGAGAGCAGCUUUGUGAUUUGCCAUUCUUCAUUCCUUCUCAAUGGAAAGGCAGCUAUUUUUAAGCAGAACAAAUAAUCAGAAGAAACGAAACUCAUGGAAUGGAAAGGGAGUCACUGUGGUGGAAAGGAAGAGUGAGAGAAGGUGUUUCAGAGUCAGCUGCUGAAAACAAAAAGAAAAAAGCAUUAAUUCAAUAUCCCAAGUCAAAUCAUAUGUAUUUAAUAUUCAGUGUUAUUGAUCACAGGUUCCAAUAUACCUUGUUGUAGGAAACAAUGUAAUGAACAAUGUAAUGCAAAACACUUCAAAUUUGAUAACUGAGAAUGGAAAACUUUGAAUGGAAUUGUAGAAGGUGCUGCAAACAUUGAUGAAGGUGAAUAUUAAAACAGGUAUUUCCAUUCAGGUAGAGUUAUUUGAAAGAGAGUAAAUUCAAUUACAUAGCACCUCCUUAUAUCAGAAGUUAUCAAAAGACUAUUUCAAAGCCAUUGCCAUUUACAUAUGGCUUUCAAACAAUGAGCAGGCUCCAAAUAUUCUGGGCUGGUGCUGGCAGGCAGAGCAUCAGCCCUCAUGUCUUCAAAAAUAACAUACCAAUAUAUCUUCUGAAAGCAACAGUGUAAGUGCCACCAAUUUUAUUUUAUAAAUAUGGUAAUUCAAAGCAUUUUGAAUAAUUUCAAGUUAAAUGUCUGCAUCCAAGUCCUGCAAGAUGGCAAGACAAGCUGUUAAGUCAUUUAUGUUCUAACCUGCAGUCAACUCUGUAACAACCACCACCUCCCCACCAUAUUUUAAAAACCUCAAAGUUUAUUUCAGGUUUUGCUUGAAUUUCAAAACUAAUUUGUUUUCCCACUUGAUGAACAGGUUGCCUUUAAACCUCAAAAAGGGUUUAAGGCUUUUUUACCUCCCAGACAUUUUUUUUUCUUUCCAAGUUUAAAACUUGGACUUCUGCUAGACAUGUAUCUUGUAAAGGCCUUUAGAAGAACUGACAAUAUACAGACAUCAAAUAAGUAUCAACAAAGAGAUUUAAAGAGUCUGAUGUAUUUCAUGCAUAUUUAUUCUAGAAUGCCCAACAUUUGUAAAAUAUGGAAGUAAAUGUGAAUAUUUACACACUCAAAAUGUACUAGCUACCCCUUUCCAUAAUUCUGGGAGAUUGGGAUGUGAGGAAAAAAAAUACAUCUAUUAAAGCUAAAAUUAAAUUUUAU